GAUACAUUGCCACGCGAAAUGCA
rnacentral:siRNA from 1 species